AACGCACAUGGCGCUCCCUGGCAAUCCGGGGAGCAUGCCUGUCCGAGCGUCGUUUCAACCCUCGGUCCCCCCGUGGCCCGGCGUUGGGGACCCGCGAGCACUCGCCGCGGGCCCCUAAAUACAGUGGCGGUCCGCUGAGGCGCACCUCUUUGCGUAGUAGCCAUCCUCGCAUCGGGAGCCCGGCGGCCUACCAGCCUCUAAACCCCAAGCAAAGACCGCCCCAGCGCGGCAAGGUUGACCUCGGAUCAGGUAGGAAUACCCGCUGAACUUAA
rnacentral:misc_RNA from 1 species